rnacentral:rRNA from 1 species
CCUACGGGGGACAGCAGUGGGGGAUAUUGCACAAUGGGGGAAACCCUGAUGCAGCGACGCCGCGUGAGCGAUGAAGUAUUUCGUUAUGUAAAGCUCUAUCAGCAGGGAAGAAAAUGACGGUACCUGCCUAAGACGCCCCGGCUAACUACGUGCCAGCAGCCGCGGUAAUACGUAGGGGGCAAGCGUUAUCCGGAUUUACUGGGUGUAAAGGGAGCGUAGACGGCAGUGCAAGUCUGCAGUGAAAGGCGGGGGCUCAACCUCUGGACUGCUGUGGAAACUGUGCGGCUGGAGUGCAGGAGAGGCAAGUGGAAUUCCUAGUGUAGCGGUGAAAUGCGUAGAUAUUAGGAGGAACACCAGUGGCGAAGGCGGCUUACUGGACGGUGACUGACGUUGAGGCUCGAAAGCGUGGGGAGCAAACAGGAUUAGAUACCCUAGUAGUC